GUGAUCCCUUCGGCAGCACGUAUACUAAAACUGGAACAAUAGAGAGAAAAUUAGCAUGGCCCCUGCUCAAGGAUGACAUGCAAAUUUGUUAAGCAUUCCAUAUUUUU
ensembl:snRNA U6 U6 spliceosomal RNA